UAGGAUCAUGCUGGAAGUCACAGAAAAUUGAAUCAAUUCAUCUCGUUGUUCAUUCUUGAUAAGCCCACACGGAAUUUACUCAGGUGAAGUCUCGGAAUGUGUUAAGAAGAAUCCCUCAAUUGCAUCUCAGGUGCUUUUGUUGUCCCGAGGUACAUCAUAUUAUAUUCAACAACUAGUACUCUUCUUUACUGACCAGCCGGUGGCCUAUUACUGAGUUUUGGCUGUAUUAGUUGACAAGUUUUGCUCUGACUUUGUCUUCUAUAUUUUAUGAAUUUCCACACGACUUGUACAAUUUUGAUACUAGACUGUAGAGGCGUCCAUCUUUGUGAGAAGAAGAGAGGAAGAAAACCCAUCACUCCUACCUCUCCUCUGAUUUCUGGAUCUACUAGAAAGACAUCAUGGGAGAGGAGGAUGUUUUGAUUGGCAGGAGUUGAUGUGUUUACAGAUAGGGGGAAGACUGGAAGUUUCAUGAGUCUACAAAUGAGGGGUGGCGGAGAUGGGUGUGGUGGUGUUGGUAAUGGGGGCGGAGGAAUUCGGGAGAGGAGGCGGAGAUGAGACCCAGUUGGCUGUUAGAUUUGGAGCUUAUUAAGGAGAGGACGUGGCAAACUGUAAGCCUCUCGAUCUACGUGUAAGAUUAUAGACCGGGUCUACUCAAAUUUUUGCUAUGGAAAAAUGUGGCCAUAUGAGGAUUAGCAGAAAUGCAUGCCAUGAAGCAGAUUGAAAGAAUAGUUUUGAACUGAAGAAAUUGAGAUUUGGCGGCUUAAAUAUGAGGUAAGUCAUUCAUUAGAAGUUGGGGAGUUUAAUUCUUGAAGAAACAUGACAGAAUGCAUGGACGGAUAUCUUCAAGACAAAACCACGUUUUCUUAUUCCAGCAGGCUAAUGUUCUGGUCUGGCUAUCACGCCUUCUGUAAUUUAGUUCCAAGAAGUGUCAGAUGGCAGUCACUCAUUAUCUCACUUCUUAGCAGUUAAUUUUCUUCUGCAAGCUGAAGUUAGUUAGGAUAGCCACCACUUAAACGUUAGGAUCAUUUUCUGCAUUGUCAGAAUUAUAAUCAUGUUUGCACUUUGCUUGAAAAAUGGAAUCACCCUCCUCAAGUUUCCCUCUCUCUUCCUCUCUCUUGUAACUCCCUCUACAACAUUUUCUUUCUCUGUUUUCCAUCAAUUCUGUCCUCUGAAUUUGGUGGGAAUAACAUUAUUAUCCUCAAUGAUAUUCGCAUUAUCUGA